rnacentral:rRNA from 1 species
AUUGAACGCUGGCGGCAUGCUUUACACAUGCAAGUCGAACGGCAGCGCGGGCUUCGGCCUGGCGGCGAGUGGCGAACGGGUGAGUAAUGCAUCGGAACGGGCCCAGUAGUGGGGGAUAGCCCGGCGAAAGCCUGAUUAAUACCGCAUACGACCUGAGGGUGAAAGAGGGGGACCGAAAGGCCACGAGCCAUUGGAGCGGCCGAUGUCGGAUUAGCUGGUUGGUGGGGUAAAGGCUUACCAAGGCGACGAUCCGUAGCUGGACUGAGAGGAGGACCAGCCACACUGGGACUGAGACACGGCCCAGACUCCUACGGGAGGCAGCAGUGGGGAAUUUUGGACAAUGGGGGCAACCCUGAUCCAGCCAGGCCGCGUGCGGGAAGAAGGCCUUCGGGUUGUAAACCGCUUUUGUUCGGGAAGAAAUCCUCUGGGCUAAUACCCCGGGGGGAUGACGGUACCGGAAGAAUAAGCACCGGCUAACUACGUG